AUUGAACGCUGGCGGCAGGCCUAACACAUGCAAGUCGAGCGGUUGACGGGAGCUUGCUCCCUGAUUCAGCGGCGGACGGGUGAGUAAUGCCUAGGAAUCUGCCUAUUAGUGGGGGACCACGUUUCGAAAGGAACGCUAAUACCGCAUACGUCCUACGGGAGAAAGCAGGGGACCUUCGGGCCGUGCGCUAAUAGAUGAGCCUAGGUCGGAUUAGCUUGUUGGUGAGGUAAGGGCUCACCAAGGCGACGAUCCGUAACUGGUCUGAGAGGAUGAUCAGUCACACUGGAACUGAGACACGGUCCAGACUCCUACGGGAGGCAGCAGUGGGGAAUAUUGGACAAUGGGCGAAAGCCUGAUCCAGCCAUGCCGCGUGUGUGAAGAAGGUCUUCGGAUUGUAAAGCACUUUAAGUUGGGAGGAAGGGUUGUAGAUUAAUACUCUGCAAUUUUGACGUUACCGACAGAAUAAGCACCGGCUAACUCUGUGCCAGCAGCCGCCGUAA
rnacentral:rRNA from 1 species